AAAAUGAGUUCGUUCGCUCCAUCAUUGGCUAGUUGUUUCAUCGAUAUCACUUCUAUGCCUCUCAUCCGCAAAAUCAAUAGGAAAGAGCAAGUGCCAGUCAUUCAGUAAAAUCUCUUUCAACAACCAAAAAGAUGACCAUACCAGAUUUCAUUUGUUACAGAAGAAAUAACUUAAUUCAGCUUUUAGAGCACAGGAAGGCAAAAAGAAAAUGGCAAUGGCAAUGGCGCUUCGCAGGCUUUGAUCUUCUUUCAACAAAUCUAUUUGUCCUCUUUUCAGUGGCUCCAGUCUCUGUUACAUGUCAUCUUUGCCAAGUGAAGCUGUCUACGAGAAAGAGAAAGUGGUGUCACCUGGCCAAAACAACUGAACGCUCCACUGGAGGUUGUUGAUCCCGAGAUUGCUGACAUCAUCGAACUAAAAAAAACCAGACAAUGGAAGGGACUUGAACUCAUUCCUUCAGAAAACUUCACUUCAGUAUCAGUUAUGCAAGCUGUUGGUUCAGUCAUGACCAACAAGUACAGUGAAGGAUAUCCUGGUGCACGGUACUAUGGAGGAAACGAGUAUAUUGAUGUGGCGGAAUCCUUACGCCAAAAACGAGCUUUGGAAGCAUUUCGGUUGGAUCCCACAAAGUGGGGAGUGAAUGUGCAGUCCGUCUCUGGUUCUGCCGCUAAUUUUCAAGUCUACACUGCAUUGUUAAAACCCCACGAAGGAUCAUGGCACUUGAUCUUCCUCAUGGUGGACAUCUAUCAUAUCAUAUGGCUAUCAGGGUUCUUGUUGGAACGGGGCACACAUGUUUUGAGACAUUAUGGCCACUGGCUUAUAGUCUACUGGCAGAGAUUGUUCACCAUGUUCGGGGGGACCUCACGUUAUCACAGGUUGCGCCAAUUUUUGAGAAAGGUGUUGACCAACAUUCCAUGGAUGAGGCACGGAUUCUAUCGGGUCACAUUUUGGAUGCUUUUGUCAGGAAAUUUAGUACUUUCAAGCGUACCAUUCCCCAGCUGUUGGAAGAGGGUGAGGAGGGAAAAGAUCGUGGUACUUUAAGGUCAAAGCUUGAACUCCCGGUGCAGAUGUAUCUAUACCAUCGUGACAGGCACCAUUAACAAUAAUUUCAACCUCAUCAUUCAACAUCUCCUCCAACUUGUUGAAACACUUCCCUGCUGCAAGGGUAGCAAGCUCUUCAAUGUCACACUCAGAAAAAUUAGUUUUUUCUAUAUCAUGAGCAGUUUUAAAUUUGCAGGUCCCUGUGGAGCAUUCAAAGGAAGUUAGUGACUGUAAAACUUUGAUCAAGACUUUGGUUAUGGGUCAUUAAUCAACAAAGGAUGCCUAAAGAACUUCUUCAGAACAGCCUCAAGCCU